AAGGGAUGCAGGUGUAAUUCCUGGUCUUCACCUGUUGCAUGGCCUUCAUUUCACUGCCCGUGUUCCCUUCUCUAGGGGAACUGUUAGGUCAGGGCUUGAAGUGGUGAUGGAAUAUCUGGUGAAGGGCUGUGGCUGGCCCAGGGAGCACAAGCAAAGUGUUUGCACCUGUGAUCCCCAGCUGGCCAGAAGGGGUGGACCCAGGAGGAAGCCACCCUGGGCUCAAUAAGUGCCAGCCAUGGAAAGGAGAACAACUCUUGGAGCUGGAGCUUCCUGAGAAGGAGUGCUGCAUGGCCACAGAGCCCCUUUGUCAGUUGGGUCUGUCCAUUGUGGCAUCAGCAGCAAUUUACCUUCUCUCAAACCUUGCUGUGGGCAAGUGACUACUGAAAGAGUGAUACGCUGUUCCUCAGGGAGCUGUUACCCUGUGACAGGAUCCCAGAAUGAAGCUGAUUUCCUGGCUGGUUCUCAGGACAAAUCUGUGCUCCCUCCUCCAGGCUGCAGUGCUGGCAUUCCACAUCAGGACCUGAUGAGGGGAAAAGUAUGCACACAGAGAAGUCUUACUCCUUUCAGUGAUUUUUUUUUUUCCAGUGUCUCUGUUUUUAAAGAGCACAAGAAAACAGAAAAUAUUUAAGUCAUCUUUUAAGGAUCAUUUUUGUUUAUGUUUGUGUUAAAAACAUAAAGAAAGAAGCUCCUAAAACCAGACUCUUCACAGUAAAAUGUGUAGCGAAUAGUGCCACUUCAGUAAAUGUUGCCAUUCAUUUUUCAAUAAAUUACCAAUUUAUACUUCUGAAUGCGGUAAUAAAAAGAGAUAAAAGGACAGAAGAAGGAGGAAAAACUUGGGAGGUUUAUGUUUACAGCCAAGCAUUUGGUUUUAUGUUUAUCUCAUGAAAAGUAACUCUGUAUAUCAUGAUAAUUGACUUCACCAAGUACCUUUAAAAAAAAAAAGGCUACAAAACAACGUCUUGUGUGAGAGAAGACUGUGCAUGGUUUUCUGCUGAGUAAAACAUUCUCCUUUGAA